GUGAAACAUUCACUGAAAAAGCGACGACCGAAAUUACAAAACCAUCGAUAACAAGAUCUGUUAUAAGAUCACUGCGCGGUACAGACAAAGGAGGUCUAAAUAUAUGAAAAGAAAAUAGCUGAGAGCCUUGAUUUAGCGAUUGGCUCACGUCUCACGAUUCACGAAAGGCAGGACUUCUGCAGCUGUAGUUACGGAAAGAGAGCUGUAGUUGUUUACACACCUGCAUAAUUCCAACAACCAAACACAAGACAGAUGCUUGGAAGUUCCCAUGAUGACGUAAGCAAACACAGGCACCAAGGCAACAUAAAGGCCUGUGAUUGGAGGAAGUGAUGAAAGCAUCGCAAAGGCCAAACCUGCAAAACAUAUAACAGAACUCAGAUGAUUGCACAUUUGCACUGAAAACUCUAUGUUGUAAAGGCUCUCGUGGCUAGUUUUCUGAAAGCAACUUUACCAAUGCAUACUGGGAUACGAUCCGUACAUUGUACAAUCAGUACAGUAAAAUUCUAGUUCAAACAAAAUGCAAGUGUGCCGACAUCCAGAGAACGCAUCAUAAAUUGAUAAUUUACAAGACCCCUACACUGAGUAGUCAAUAGCAUUUUGACAGUUUUGAAGUGGAUGUGAACUAUAGUGAACUGAAAGACUGAAUAUAUUGCCCCAGUGGAAAGGUCUUUGUUUCAUUAAUCAGUUAAAUGCGCGUGAUCGUUUUAGCACAUUGUGCUUGGUUUCCAUGCAAACGAAUACGAUAGUCGUUAAUGAUGAAAUAGUUUUGAUUCGAUUGCAUAAUCAUGCAUGGCUGUUUUAUGUCGCUCAAUAACUGCACAAUAUAACUGAAUGCGCAGGCGCUACUGUACAUGAGCUCAUUAUGUGCCUGUACCUAACAAAAUCGUAGUCGAUGCUGAUCAUCUAUGAAUGAUAUAU